rnacentral:rRNA from 1 species
CACGUAGGGCGCGAGCGUUGUCCGGAAUUAUUGGGCGUAAAGAGCUCGUAGGCGGCCUGUUGCGUCCGCUGUGAAAACCUGGGGCUCAACCCCGGGCCUGCAGCCGAUACGGGCAAGCUAGAAUUCGGUAGGGGAGACUGGAAUUCCUGGUGUAGCGGUGAAAUGCGCAGAUAUCAGGAGGAACACCGGUGGCGAAGGCAGGUCUCUGGGCCACUACUGACGCUGAGAAGCGAAAGCAUGGGGAGCGAACAGG